GCCUAGUUUGCUUAGAGGGUAGAGCGCUUGCCUUGUAAGCGCUAGGUCGCGGGUUCGAUUCCCGCAUACGGGG
rfam:Asian citrus Psyllid, Diaphorina citri - Florida Strain, whole genome shotgun sequence.